AAAGAUGAAGACUGUUGUCUCCUCAGGGAAGGAGUGGGUUAAGGAGAAAAAGUAAGAGAGAGAGAGAAUGUGAGAGAAAAACGUCAUCUGGUUGUCUCUCCAAUGUGCCUAGACUAGGGAUCAAACUCAACCUAGGUGAUAAAAGCAUGCAGCCUGGAGCAUAAAUGUGUGAAAAGAGAUUAGGCAGUGUGUGAAAACACUUCCUUACCAUCAGGCAUUUGACAGCUCCUUUGAAAU